AUGGAAAUGGACAAACCUUAUUCAAAAUGAGGUUCCGCUGAUGCCUGCCUUGCUGUGGUGUCGCAGCUGAAAUUCCAACCAGGAGUUUUAUUGAGUGAGAUUUGUACAAAGCAUGGAUCUUGCCUGACCCCAAUACAAAGACAGAACAGAAGCUUGAAACAUUUCACAGGCAAAUAUGAAAGCCAAUUAACAUCACACAGAUGUGAAGGAAUGGCAUCGGGAUGAAAUAAGAGACUGAGCGGCAGUAAUGCAGUCGUCUGAUAAAGGAACCCUAGUGUUCUCCAGGAUCAACGUGAUGGGUGACGCUUUGACCUAGCAUCUGAUCUCUGAAUAGAAAAUACAGCUCUCUUGUGAAGAUAAUGAAGAAGCCAAAUGAAACACAAGUAUUAAUUACUGUCUGUGCGCAGCAUUGUGCCGAAUCCAAUCAUACUGAGGCCACCAAAACAAUGCAGUGUUGGCUCAGAAGAAAAAAGGACCGUAUGGGGGAGAAAAAAGUAGUUAUUAUGACACUAAUGUACUGCCAUUAUCUACAGAACGAUAGAGACGGAACUGAGAGAAAAGCCUUCGAUAAAGCACGCCAUGCCAAGAUUACCCGGGCCGGAGCGGGACCACUAAAAGCACAAAUAUGAAAAGAAAACAAUGUAAUGGCUUAACCCCUUAAGGACGCAGCCCUUUUUUGC